UGAGGAAUAUUGGUCAAUGGGCGCAAGCCUGAACCAGCCAUGCCGCGUGCAGGAUGAAGCAUCUAUGGUGUGUAAACUGCUUUUGUACGGGAAGAAACCACCCCUCGUGAGGGGUAUUGACGGUACCGUAAGAAUACGGAUCGGCUAACUCCGUGCCAGCAGCCGCGGUAAUACGGAGGAUCCAAGUGUUAUCCGGAAUCAUUGGGCUUAAAGGGUCCGUAGGCGGGUCUGUAAGUCAGUGGUGAAAUCUCCCCGCUCAACGGGGAAACUGCCAUUGAUACUGCAGGUCUUGAAUUAUUGGGAAGUAACUAGAAUAUGUAGUGUAGCGGUGAAAUGCUUAGAGAUUACAUGGAAUACCGAUUGCGAAGGCAGGUUACUAUGGUUUUAUUGACGCUGAGGCACGAAAGCGUGGGGAUCAAACA
rnacentral:rRNA from 1 species